rnacentral:rRNA from 1 species
AAACCGUUCAGGGGUAAACCUGAGAAACCCAAAAGAUCGAAUGGGGAGAUUCAUCGUCAGCUUCGUUGGCUUGCGUGUGGCUCGCGAUGCUCGCUGAGGACGUGUCAAAGCGUUUUUUCGGCGGGCACGCGGUCGCUGCGUAACUUUGUCCAGCUGGAGUCGGCGUGCACUUCUCCCCUAGUAGGACGUCGCGACCCGUUGGGUGUCGGUCUACGGUCCGCGAGGUCGACUGCCGAGCCGCGUGUAAAAGCGCGCGCACGGCAGACCCGCGGUCACCCGGCCGACUGCCCGGCGGUAUGGAUCGCUUUUUUUUGAACGGUAUCGAGCCGCAUUUUUUCGAAUGCGUCCUUUAUUGGCUCGUCGGCAGGUGAGCCUCGUUCUCGGUAUUUACGGACCUAGUGCCGUUGCCGAGCGAGUUGUUUGCCGUUUCGCCGACGAUGUCCUCGGACGGGCUCAGCGCAAAGCUUCGGCUUUGCGUAACCAGUCAGCGACGCUACUGCUUUGGGUACUUUCAGGACCCGUCUUGAAACACGGACCAAGGAGUCUAACAUGUGCGCGAGUCAUUGGGUUUGAUUAUUAAUAAACCUAAAGGCGCAAUGAAAGUGAAGGUCCGCUCUGAUGCGCGGCCGAGGGAGGAUGGCUCUUUCUGUUAAAAGAGAGGGCCCGCACUCCCGGGGCGUCUCGUGCUCAUUGCGAGCUGAGGCGCACCCAGAGCGUACACGUUGGGACCCGAAAGAUGGUGAACUAUGCCUGGUCAGGACGAAGUCAGGGGAAACCCUGAUGGAGGUCCGUAGCGAUUCUGACGUGCAAAUCGAUC